rnacentral:rRNA from 1 species
AUGCAUCAUAUUUCAUAUAUGCAAGUGGAAAACAGUGGAAAACACCCACGUACAUCUUCAACAAAAAGAUGUUGCCUAGAUAGAAUGUUUUGCAUGGCAAAUCCAAUACGUAAACUGCAAGCAAACAAUGAAAUGAGUUUGGUGAUAAUAUCAAAGCUCUAUCCAGUCACCAAAAUGCACAAAGAAAAUCAAACGCUUCUGGCCAACUGUCAUCGUUCAACUGAGUCUCGUACUGCGUGGGCGCUCGCCUGGGAAAGAAGAUUAGCAGCGAGAAAGGACCGAAGGUGCAGAUAUGUCACUGUGAGAGAAAAAAAAUAG